rnacentral:antisense_RNA from 21 species
CUUUUGGGUGACUGUGUGGGAGACCUUCGGGUCUGCCGAUUCCGUUUGAUCGGUCGUCCAACCCGCAUAGUCGCCCUUUU